rnacentral:rRNA from 1 species
ACUCAAAUGAAUUGACGGGGGCCCGCACAAGCAGUGGAGUAUGUGGUUUAAUUCGAAGCAACGCGAAGAACCUUACCAGGGCUUGACAUCUACCGAAGUCUUAGAGAUAAGAUGUGCCGCAAGGAGCGGUAAGACAGGUGGUGCAUGGUUGUCGUCAGCUCGUGUCGUGAGAUGUUGGGUUAAGUCCCGCAACGAGCGCAACCCUUAUGGUCAGUUGCCAUCAUUCAGUUGGGCACUCUGGCGAGACUGCCGGUGACAAAUCGGAGGAAGGUGGGGACGACGUCAAAUCAUCAUGCCCCUUAUGUCCUGGGCUACACACGUACUACAAUGGCCGUUAACAGAGGGAAGCCAGUCAGCGAUGGCGAGCAAAUCCCAAAAAACGGUCUCAGUUCAGAUUGCAGGCUGAAACCCGCCUGCAUGAAGUCGGAAUUGCUAGUAAUCGCGAAUCAGCAUGUCGCGGUGAAUACGUUCCCGGGCCUUGCACACACCGCCCGU